rnacentral:rRNA from 1 species
CGCGAUCGAUCAGAGUUUGAUCCUGGCUCAGGAUGAACGCUAGCUACAGGCUUAACACAUGCAAGUCGAGGGGCAGCAUGAAUUAUUGGCUUGCCAAUAUUUGAUGGCGACCGGCGCACGGGUGAGUAACACGUAUCCAACCCUCCGGUUACUCGGGGAUAGGCUUUCGAAAGAAAGAUUAAUACCCGAUGUUGCGUAUCUUUCUCCUGAAAGAUACGCCAAAGGAUUCCGGUAACCGAUGGGGAUGCGUUCCAUUAGGCAGUUGGCGGGGUAACGGCCCACCAAACCUUCGAUGGAUAGGGGUUCUGAGAGGAAGGUCCCCCACACUGGGACUGAGACACGGCCCAG